UCACUGUGAUGAUGGUUUUCCAACAUUCGCAGUUUCCACCAGAAGGGUUUUCCUUAGUGUUGGGUAAAACCUUCCUUGGAUGUCUGAGUGA
ensembl:snoRNA SNORD14 Small nucleolar RNA SNORD14